rnacentral:rRNA from 1 species
GACAGCAGUCGCCGCGGUAAUACGGAGGGGGCUAGCGUUGUUCGGAAUUACUGGGCGUAAAGCGUACGUAGGCGGCUUUGUAAGUUAGAGGUGAAAGCCUGGUGCUCAACACCAGAACUGCCUUUAAGACUGCAUCGCUCGAACGUCGGAGAGGUGAGUGGAAUUCCGAGUGUAGAGGUGAAAUUCGUAGAUAUUCGGAAGAACACCAGUGGCGAAGGCGGCUUACUGGCUCAUACUGGACGCUGAGGUGCGAAAGCGUGGGGAGCAAACAGGAUUAGAUACCCCUGUAGUCCCUGUCUCUUAUAC